UACGUAGGGUGCAAGCGUUGUCCGGAAUUAUUGGGCGUAAAGGGCUCGUAGGCGGUUUGUCGCGUCGGGAGUGAAAACUCAGGGCUUAACCCUGAGCCUGCUUCCGAUACGGGCAGACUAGAGGUAUGCAGGGGAGAAUGGAAUUCCUGGUGUAGCGGUGGAAUGCGCAGAUAUCAGGAGGAACACCAAUGGCGAAGGCAGAUCUCUGGGCCGUAACUGACGCUGAGGAGCGAAAGCAUGGGGAGCGAACAGG
rnacentral:rRNA from 1 species